UAGUUUAUAUUUACUGAGUAGUUUAAUGACCAACAAUGAAGCAGCCUGGCCAUUGCCAGAAUAAUGACUGAGCUGCGCUGUUCCUACACCCACCGGCACCCUUACUAGUAGGAAACUGCCCCCCCAUUACAUAACUUGUAUAUAACAUUUCACCAGCUGAGGCCAAACCCCUUCCUACCCCUGAGGGUGGGUAUAACCCCCAUCUCUGCCCACUAUUCAGGCCAAGGAAGGGGCACCCUACCUGCUAAGGAGCCCCGGUUACAUCUGAUUUAGCAGCAGCAGGUAGAUAACCCAUGGCUGAUGAAUUAAUGGAUCAUUCCAACAGAACAGUAAAGCAAUGUUCUAUGUACACAAUGAUCUGUGUAGGUACUGCUCAUAUAAGGGCAAACUAAUGGCAUAUAAACCUCACUCAUUAACAGGGUACAUUUCCCCUUUAAGAGUGGCUCCUGCCUUACACUGUGUGACAUCAGCGCUGUGACAGUUAUUCAGUUGGUUGGCAUUGUAGUGAGAGAUUGCUAUACUGCUGAGCUUCUGUACCUGCGGUUUGUGCGACUUUGAUUGCUAUUUCCGAGCGAUUUUUUGGCCUCCCCUUUAGUUCGAUCAAUUCUAUUCUGGUCUGAGCUUGGGGAAAGCCACUUUCGACUGAGGGUCUCCCUUGGGUGCCCCGGCCUUGUGCCGGUCCUCAAGUGUGAGGAACCCCUCACUAUACGAACCAGAAGAGUUUAACAUCUGGCACUUCUGGUUCCAACGGCACCUUCUGGCACACAUCUUUUAGAGGUGGCUGUACUUUGAGGCAGCAGAAUGCCAGAGGUAAAGGUGCUUUUCGCAGUCCUGGAGGACUACAUUCAUCAACAGACCUUCGAUGAGGCCAUUUAUGGCUACUAUGAACAUCAAUACAUUCGAAGAUUUCCGGACAUCGACGACUGG